AGGGAGAAUCGAGUUUUGGCUUUGCGGUUUCGGGUCGUGAAUCAAUUCAAAGAGCGUUUUUUUGGGGUUCCUUGUAGAGAGUAAUUUCACCCUAUUACUUCCCUUAAUCAAAUUGCGGGUUCGUAGAGGAACCUUUCUGACUUGAGAUUGAGUUUUGUUAGCUGUGGUUGCUGAUAAGGGACUUGAAGAUAGUUAGCUCCAGUUGGGUUAAAGAGUGCGUUGGAUCUUUUUGAUUUAAUAGGACUUUUAAAAAGACUUCCGCUAUUAUUUAUUUAUAAGAUUUAUGUUCUGGUUUGUAAUAAUUAAUUUUACAUUCUAUUUAGUUGGUCUGUAAUAAUUAGUUAAAACUUUUGGUUAUUGUUUUAGUUAGAACCAUUAGCCUUGCGGUUAUUAUUAAUAAUUAUCGCGGC